rnacentral:antisense_RNA from 1 species
CUUGAUCGAACCCAACCACAACGGCCGGCCCGGCACCCGGUGCUGUCCGUAGGUGGUCAACAGGGCCUGCACCUC